GUUGGAGCCCUCUGUGUAAGCACAUGAAUAUUGCAUUAUCUAGAUGAUGAAAUCGAUGAGUUACAUUUGAGCAAAAAACUAUUUUUAACUGAACCUUUGGAUACUGGUAGAACUUGGGUUUCUAAACCUUUUAGAAAAGGGCUUAUGUGUUGAUUCUGAUGAGAUUGGAGUAUAAUUUAUGGAAUAAAUUUUGGGAUUCAUAUGUAUAUAUUUAAGUGCAGGUGUUAAUAUGUAACAUUAUCCUUACAUAUGUGGAUGAUUCAUUGUUUACUUCUAAUUUUGUUUCAAUAACAUACCUUUUGUCACGCCUUUUUAUUCGUUAAGAUGAGAAGGGCAUAGCGAAAUCAGCAAACGACGAUUUCAAAAAAAAAAUCUUUUAUUUUUCAGGCAUUUUCUCAAACACCUUGUGUGCUUUAUGAGUUUCUUCAAAUUUCUGUAAUGCUAAUCAACACUCAUAGACUUAGAAUGCAGUAGUAACUAUAGCAGGUAGUAUCGUUGGUAUGACUUAUAAAGGCAAAAUAGAAUUCAAGGAGUAAUCAACACAUACCUGAUUUAAAAACGUAGAGAUAAUAUGCAGACGUUAUUAGAGAGGGAUACGGGAGCUGUGAUGAUCAGCAACGCAUAAGUUUGAAAUGUGGGGAAGAAGAUGGGGAAACAAUUUUAAAAUACGAAAACAUAAGAAAGUUGAGAAAGUAUACCUGAUAUCAGAAGAGAUAGCAAGAAGAUGGUGUAGCUGCUUCACGGAAAGGAAAUUGUGAUUCACUGUGACUCAUCAGUCGGAAAUAUGGGGAAGAAGAUUUGGAAAGAACGUGGAACAUAUAAAGCUUUUGGUGACCGGCAGAUGUAG
rnacentral:lncRNA from 1 species